GAAAGUAAAAGUCGUAACAAGGCUUCCGUAGGUGAACCUGAGGAAGGAUCAUUACAGAGUUCAUGCCCUCACGGGUAGAUCUCCCACCCUUGAAUAUUUAUACCUUAGUUGCUUUGGCAGGCCGUGGAAACACCAUGGGCCCCGGCUUAUGCGUGCCUGCCAGAGGAAACAAACUCUGUUUUUAGUGAUGUCUGAGUACUAUAUAAUAGUUAAAACUUUCAACAACGGAUCUCUUGGUUCUG
rnacentral:misc_RNA from 1 species